CACGUAGUUAGCCGGCGCUUCUUAUCCAGGUACCCUCAACACCACCAAAAAGGCAGUGCCUUGUUCCCUGACGAAAGAGGUUUACAACCCGAAGGCCUUCAUCCCUCACGCGGCGUCGCUGCAUCAGGCUUGCGCCCAUUGUGCAAUAUUCCCCACUGCUGCCUCCCGUAGGAGUCUGGGCCGUAUCUCAGUCCCAGUGUGACCGUCCACCCUCUCAGGCCGGCUACCCGUACAAAGCCUUGGUAGGCCAUCACCCCACCAACAAGCUGAUAGGCCGCGAGCCCAUCCCUUACCAGAAAAACAACCUUUCCAAACCAACCCAUGCAGGAAGGCCAGAAUAUCCCGUAUUAGCUACCCUUUCGAGCAGUUAUCCAGGAAAGUAAGGGGCAGGUUACUCACGUGUUACUCACCCGUUCGCCACUAAUCAACCAAGCAAGCUUGGUAUUUUCGUUCGUACUUGCAUGUGUUAAGCACGCCGCCAGCGUUCGUCCUGUAGCCAGGAUACAAACUACU
rnacentral:rRNA from 1 species